rnacentral:rRNA from 1 species
AUGAUUCAUAAUGUACAGACAUUAGCUUGUCUUUUCAAGGAGUCGGUUUGUGAUACAUGCCCACCUAUUCAUUUUACUUUCAAAGAAAAGAAUUGGCUUGUGAUUUGUUAUGCUCAGGCCUCGGGCAUUAAUUUUCACUGUCACAUGCAUGGUUUCAGAUUACCUGUGAGGUCGUCCACCGCGACUGUCACUGUGAGGUUGGUUAUUUCCCUACAAACAUUGCUCUACUGUAGCCUAGUUCGUUUCUAUGCUGCUGGUUGUGAAACCAAACUAGGUGGGGGUGUGUGUGAUGAGGUUUGGUUUAGUGCUUGA